ACUCCUGCGGGAGGCAGCAGUGGGGAAUUUUGGACAAUGGGCGAAAGCCUGAUCCAGCAAUGCCGCGUGAGUGAAGAAGGCCUUCGGGUUGUAAAGCUCUUUUGUCAGGGAAGAAACGGUGAGAGCUAAUAUCUCUUGCUAAUGACGGUACCUGAAGAAUAAGCACCGGCUAACUACGUGCCAGCAGCCGCGGUAAUACGUAGGGUGCAAGCGUUAAUCGGAAUUACUGGGCGUAAAGCGUGCGCAGGCGGUUUUGUAAGUCUGAUGUGAAAUCCCCGGGCUCAACCUGGGAAUUGCAUUGGAGACUGCAAGGCUAGAAUCUGGCAGAGGGGGGUAGAAUUCCACGUGUAGCAGUGAAAUGCGUAGAUAUGUGGAGGAACACCGAUGGCGAAGGCAGCCCCCUGGGUCAAGAUUGACGCUCAUGCACGAAAGCGUGGGGAGCAAACAGGAGUAGAUACCCGAGUAGUCCC
rnacentral:rRNA from 1 species